UUUAUUCCAUUGUAUAUUCUUGCCUCCUUUGUUAAAGAUUAGUUGACCAAAAGCUUGUGGGUUCAUUUCUGGGCUCUCUAUUCUGUUCCCUUGGUCCGUAUGUCUGGGCACUCUUUUAAAUGCCCUUCAUAUGUUGACUCACUUAGUCUUCCCAACAACCUUACGUGAUAGGUCUUACUAUGUUAUAGAUGGUGGAAUAUGAGAAACAAAAGUUAAGGGACUCACUCAAGGCCAUCCAGCCAGGAAAUGGCAAGGCCAGGAGUAAGAUCCCCAACAGCCGGGCUCCAUCCCUAGUGUGAGCUUCUGACCAGUAUCAGCAGCACCAGAGUCCUGUGUCCAAGAAAGCUGUUACCACUAAAAACCACGGGCUCCUCAAAUGAAAAAUGAGACUAAUGUGUCUCCUUCCAUUGUCAGGAUUGCACAACAUAAUCUAUUAAAGCAUUUAAUAUGUAACAAGGACUCCAUUCUUUAAGAGUAAGUAAAAUUUUAAAUGUAAAUACUGCAAAAUCAUCCAUGACUCACACUGAUACAGUAACUCUGAGAGAGUACUUUCCUAAUCAUCAGGGGUGGGGAGAAGGGAACAGAAGCAACAAACAUCUCUUCAUAUUUUUAGAUUUUUUGAGGGGCUGAGGAGGGACUAGCUACAACCAAAACCACCUUCAGGGCAGAAGAGGCCAAAAAGAAUGAGUCACAAAACACAAUUUUAGAAUGAAUUUCUGAAAGGACUCCUGUGUCUUUAGCUAAUAUUAGGGAAAAAAGGUAUAUAUUUCCCAUAAAGAGAAAGGUCAGCACGACUCUAUUCCAGGCUGAGGAGUCAUUUCCGUCCAACUUUAAAAAGACAGUCAUUCUCAUCCAUGGGUGGCAGUCCGAGGACUCGAGGUUUUUAUAAGAGAACUCUGAGAAUGCUGGGUUUCCAGAAUUACUGGAAUAGAUAGUCGUGAAAUUUUCUUUUUGUCUUAAAACAUUUCAAAUAUGGCCUCAGAACCCGUGGAGAAGAUAAAUGUGUGUGAAGGAGAUAGCUCUUGUGUCUGAGUUGAUUCCAUUUUAUUACUCUGUAGCCUAUAAAUAGAUUUGAGGGUGUACCUUUGCAAUCUAAGGACUUUCUGGGCUCUGUCGCUUAGACAGUAGGCAAGGACAGACUUUCCCUCUCUCUUUUUUUUAGUCACAGCUUCAGUGUUUCCUCUGAGCCCUUCUGUCUGGAGAACACUUUAGCUACCACCUUUUUUUCCUCAUAACUGUCCACUUCUGAACUCCAUAUUUUGGGAGCUGAAAAUAAGUGGUGACUUACCUGCAGAGGGAAGACACCACACCAAGAGAGAGAGAGGGAAUGCAGGAGAAGUUCAGAAAUGAUUCAGGCUCCUGAGUAAAGGCCUCCUGGUGGUCUCCUCCCUCCCCGCCCCACGGUGUUGUCAGCUAAUCCAGGGCCCCUGGGGCCAGCUCUCAUUGUCCAUAGCACGCCUCACCCUCACCUUCCCCAAGCCGCCAAUUCUCACCAGAGAUCUGUUCAUCACUUAUUUUACAAGCAGCCUUUUCAACCACAUUUUCCACUCAGCCAGUAGGAAAACCCACGCCAAAGGAGCCUGGACAUAGAAGCCCAUGGCCACAAGCAGAAGUGUUACAGGAUGGGAAUGUGGGGUCCCUUGUUCAAAAAUCAUUAAGAAUUUCAAGAGAGAGACCAUGGAACAUUCAACCAGGCAUAGGUCCUCCUAAGCAUGUGGCCCUGUGCAUCGGCCCAGUUUACCCAUCUAUGAAGCCACCCCUGCCUGUCAGGGCCCCCAGUGAGUUGAAAAUUGUUUCUCUUCUGAACAGGCUGAUAUAUUUAAAAUUCAAUAUCAUAUCAUUGGAACACUAACAAAAUUGUAGCUCAGCCAAAUUCAGAUUGACUGGGUUUUAUCUGAAUAUCUAGCUAGUGUAAUGGCACAGGUAUGCAUGUUCUAAUUUGGUGAUGGAAGUCCACAACAGUAGGAUAGAUAAAUCCUGUAAAUAUUCACACACAUCUAUACUCUGAUUUCAAAGGAGAAAAAAAAAAUCCCCAAAUAUUUUUGUUACUUAUUCAACAUUAAGAACCACGGGAAAAUAGGUGCCUGCCCUUCACCUCCCAAGUGUUGGAUUCAGCUGUCUGUGGUGGAGCUCAAGGCAUCAGGGCAGUGAGCAAUGCCAGAAACUCUGAUCCAAAGCCAGAGUUAAUAACACGUGCAAGGGGAUUUCAUGCAAGCUCCAUAUGCUAGACGUUCCAUGGGGAGAGUAGUGGACGCAGGCAAGAAUCACGAGUAGUGGGACCCAUUUUUGCCAUGCAGUGUACUUCGGGCAAAGGUGAGACAUUCUCUGGAAGCUUUUCUUGAGUCUACACCUGAAGCAAUUGCAUAAAAUUUACCUUUGUUUGAAUUACAUGGUUACAGAACUUGCAGUAAUUUAUAUACAGUCAUCAGCAAAUGUGGGGUUUCUCCAUGGAAAGUCACAGAGCCAGGGUGGCUUAGGGUUGGAAGAUAGAGAUUCAAGUCCCAGCCCAGCUAACUUAGCAAGCUCCCCAGUUUCUUACAUAGGAACGUCACAGGACCUCUGAGUCUCAGGAUCCUGCUCUCUGUUGAGAUAAAGGGACCAGCUCCACAGAGCUGUUGCAAGGAAGACGAGGUUUAUAUAUGAAAUUAGAUUGUACACUGUGAAGUAGUUGAUAAAUGCAAGCUAUGUCUUACUUAAAUCUAACAGGGACAGAGCAAGACAGGACAAGUCCUCGAGUCAAUCUUACUGGUAAAGCAUCAUUAUGCAUUGGCAUGGCAGCCGUAUAUUUCAGCUAUUCCUUUGUCUGCGUCCCGUCUAACUUGUCCUAAAAACUCAAGUUAAACAGUAACCCCUUUAUGAAAUGUUUUGUGUUCCCACUGGCAAUUAAGUAUUCCCACUUACACCUUAGCACACAGAGUGAUUUUACUUGAUUACAUGGGCUUUCCUCUUUCUGGGCUGUGAGUUUUCUGAGGACCCCAUCAGUGAAGUAUCAUGAAUGGGAUGCGCUCAGUUUGUUAAAUGAUUGGCCGGAGGAGGGAAAGGAAUUAAGUAUAGAUGAGAGGAGCUUAGAUUAUUUAAGACGUUUCGACGUAUGAAGGCAAAGUUUUCUUAAGAACAGGGAACCCCUCCGUCCCCGAGUUCCUAGUCAGUGCUGGGCACGGAGUAGGUAGCUUGGGAGAAAUUUGCUAACGGAAAAGAAGAAAGGCCAGCCCUAGGCAAAGGUUUCAGUCAGCAUGGACUUCUCCUGCCAUGUUUUGUAUUUGGUCUUAUAAUUCCAGCAUCUCUUGGCCUUACAGCAUUCCCUCAUCCCAGUGCUGAGUCAUCAGCACCUCCACAAGGCAUGAUCCUCACCCACUGGUCAUGCUGGAAGCCCCUGCUCCUUAUCCGAAGGGUGGAUCCUGCACCCCAUUGCUGUAGGACUGUUCCAUGCUCCCCCAGACUUUGCUAGUUUAGUAACCAUAAAUCCCUGUAACAAGCGAUGGGCAUUAAAGAGCCACCUUACAGAGGAAGGAAAUAUUUGAUCCCCGAAGCAUUUAAACCAAAGGACCAAUCCAGUAAUGACCACGUCAGGCAUUGUGGCUGACAGAAUAGACGGGUUUCAGAUCACCCUCUGCUACCUCUCACCCGGUCUGUAUGGGGUCAACACUAGAGGAGGAAAAUGAGCAUUUCUUUGGAAAAGGUAGCCCUUGACAGAAAGCUAGUAGGAGUCCUGACUUUAUGAAAUCUCAGGUUUUUAAAGGUUUCGUAGUGACACAAGCUGGGGAUAGUAUGUCACAGUUUUAUUAUCAUAAGGGCCUUUUCUUAGGAUGUGGGCGUCACUGGUGGUGAAGCAAAACAGCAGGAUUCUGUGGUCUAUAAGAGUCAGUACCUUUAAGAAAUCCCCAGUCUCUCAGAGCAGACCGAUACUGACAGUCUCUGGGAGAAAAAUACAGACUUAAAAUACGAACCAAAAUAUCUGCCUUGCUCCCACCUUCUCUGUUUCACAUUGGGGAGCCUGUGGGUGCCGGCUGCACGCAUCAGUUAGGAGAAUAAUAGGUUUAUCUCUAUUUCCUGGGCAUCUUUCCCAGUGCGGAGCCUAGAAGGCGGCAGAUAACAUGUCUGGUUAGUGCUAGUUCCUUCUUAAUGAAGAGAGGAGAGCACAUUUCCUCUGCAUUUUGAAACCCGGAUCACUUGACUCACUUGAUUAAAACUGUUCCUAAAUGCUCCCUGGAUCGCUUCCCUUUGUCCUCAUAAGGUCCUUGGUCGUGAAUUUUGAAAGUAACCUCACUUAGUUUCUCCUCCUUGGGCCAAACAUCAACUGAUACUGAAGUGUUACUAAUCCUUUAAGGAGCCAGGAGUUAGAGCUGUCGUUGGACUUUGGAAGAUUUUAAAAACUGGACUUUUCUUCUCUGAUCACUGAUACUGUUUUUAGUUUGGAGCUGGAGCCGUUCCCCCCAGUAACAAGCGCAGCUUGAGCGGACAGGGUGUGCCAUUGUUCUAAAACAGGGUUCACUUUAGGUUUUGCCCAAACAGGUACAGAAUUGAAAAUCUUGGCUUCUGUUAACGCUGCAUUUGUGGGCAAAGUUACUAAAUUGUAGUUAGCAUUUAUUACCUUCAUGAGUUUUACCAUACCUGAGUACCGCCCGACAUUGCAUUUAUAAUUUUUCUUUAAAUCCGUUCACUGUUAUACUUGAACACAUUUAUUUUCCAUAAUGGAAGUUUGCCAGAAACGGGAAACUAGUAUUACUUGUCCUUAAUUGGAGGUAAUAAAUACAAUGAAAACAAGAGGUAUUCCAUUCUAGCUGGAUAGCAUUGCUUGCCAGAACUUAGGAACCCAAGGCCUAUCUCCCUUUAUUUGAAAGCGGAAUAACCUGGGUUGAAGCCUUACCAGCACCACGUUGAAACUUCCCUUCACAGAGUAUGAUGGAUUGGGGAAAAAAGGAAUUUUUUCAUCUAUUUAGUAACUAUUAGCUUUUGAUUCCAAGUGGUACUCAGCGCAUUUUUGAGAAACACUUCAAAAAACUCAUUCCUUUUGUGUGAAGAAUUAAGUAUUUGGCCAGAUGUGUAUGAAAACCCCUUUCUAGGAUGUGAUACGAACACCCCAAAAGUAGAUGGCAGUCUCCCUCAGCCAAGAAAUGUGUCACCUAAUAAGGGAUGGAGUAAAUUGUGAUAAUAUGAGAAGAGAAAGUCGUGCUAGAUGUAUAGAAGCAGGAGUUCCUGGAACACGCAGGUACUUAAUACUGGAAUGUGAGCAGGAGGCGACCACUGGUGGGUCCAUCCGUAGCUGUCUGAAGAAUGCUUGACACACAGUAGGCAGCCACCAAGUUUCUGCUGAGUCAAGGAACACAAACCACAUUCCCCAGUCUCCUAGUGGAGACAGAACCACUGUCAUGGGGGGCAGGGGCAUAGGUGGCACCAUCUGGAGAAGUGGCAGGGAAGCAAGAUCUGGGCAGAGUCCUGAAGGAAUAGGCAGAGAGCACACACAUACACACACAGGUGCACACACACACAUACACACCAUGGCUUAGAACAGAAGGUACCAAAUUCGUACAAAAGCAGUGGGUUAAGUGUGUCUGAUCAAGGUUGUGGUCUGAGAACAGUCCCCAAAAUACAAACUACCCUCCAAUUUGAAUAAAUGCUCCCCUUUUCCUCAGACCUGAAGCCAUUCCCUCCUUCUUGCUCAAAAACAUCAUGCGUUUUAAGACCCACGUACACUCCUGCAAAAUGUGUUGAUGCUUCAGCAAGACUAACGUCUGUUAUAGGAAUGACACCUUCUAUCUGUACACGUGGGGGUUACCCGAGAAACCUAGCUUUGUGUGGGUAUGUUGUUCGUUUAUGGAUUUGGGUCUGUUUCCCCAGUUGUUAAGGAAGGCUCCUGCAAACUUUGCAGCGAGGCAGUUGUGCCAUUUUCCACCAUUGCCUUUGCUAUUUUUGGUUAAAUGGACUCAUUGUUCCUCUAGGAUUAACGGCCACCACACGGUUUGCUGCUCUAGACAUAGCAGAGCCUCAGGUUCAGUAUUUCUUCAAGAUCUUGGAUAACUAGCAGUACAGAAAGUAAGGAAGUUACAGGCUGGGGCGUUGAGACGAGAGUGAAUCACGCACAUGAGGAGUGUUCAUUCUUUUAUUGUCCAUUGUUUUAACCUGACUGAAUACAAGACCAACAAGAGCACUGUACUCCUGGCAAUUAUGACAGAUGUUAGAACACGGGUUUUUGCACUGUAGACGACAUUCAACACCGGUCUAUGGGGUACUGCAUUGCUUUUUAUAAAGUCCAAAAUAAAGAUUUAUUUUCAAACAA